GGGAGUCAGAACAUGGGUGAUAAGGUCCGUGUUCGAAAGGGAAACAGCCCAGACCACCAGCUAAGGUCCCAAAAUAUAUGUUAAGUGGAAAAGGAUGUGGCGUUGCCCAGACAACUAGGAUGUUGGCUUAGAAGCAGCCAUCAUUUAAAGAGUGCGUAAUAGCUCACUAGUCGAGUGACACUGCGCCGAAAAUGUACCGGGGCUAAACAUAUUACCGAAGCUGUGGAUUGUCCUUUGGACAAUGGUAGGAGAGCGUUCUAAGGGCGUUGAAGCAUGAUCGUAAGGACAUGUGGAGCGCUUAGAAGUGAGAAUGCCGGUGUGAGUAGCGAAAGACGGGUGAGAAUCCCGUCCACCGAUUGACU
rnacentral:rRNA from 1 species